AUAUGUUAUCUAUAUUCUAUUGUGAAUAAAAUAUAAGUUUAUGAGAUUGUAAAUUAUUCCAUUCCUUUUUUUACUCACAAUUUGUACAGUGUCCAAACUUUUUUGGAAUUGGGUUUGUACAAGCCGGCUCUGGCUUCAGAGGAAACAUACAGUGGAGAUCAAAAUUAGAGAACAAUCUAUAAAUACUUGAUUUUUUUUUUUUUUUCUGAAAUAUUGUUCAUCUUCAUCGCUUAAAAGCCAUUACUGUAGAUGGAAAGUGAAUUUGGCCAGAUCAGCAUUUGCUGAGGCUUUACGGGUACAAUUAAGCAGUCUGCCGAUUCACAAUUUAACUUGAGCAAUAAGGCAUAGCCAAAGGUUCUGCUCCUCCAAGACUCUCAUCUGCAAAAGAUAGAGAGAUAGAAGAUAUUUAUGCCACUAAAGUUCAGUGAAGUUUGACAGCAAUAUUUAAAGGUCAUAAAAGUAUUUGAUAUACUGUACGUGUAGCACACUAAAUUGGACAUUUGAAUUUGAAAUAAAGGAGCCACAUUUAAAAACAAAAACAGCAAUAUCACUAACGAUCCCAAUCCAAUCUGAAUUAUUUAUGACUGACAUUAUAUUUCAUAUACAAUUUUGAAAGAAUGUAACAGUCUAGACAUAAUUCUUUAAGUAACUGGACAGUUGUGUUUGCCAGGACGUUAUCAUAAGAAAUAUGGUAGCAACAUUUAGGUUUUACGGACUGAGCUUAAAAUUUACCAUAAAAAUUUUUAGAUUUUAAGGGAUAGUUCCUAGGUGCACAGUAUAUGACUUUCUUCAUUCAGAUGAAUGCAAUCAGAGUUAUUUUUAAAAAUGUCCUGGCUCUUCCAAGCUUUAUUAUGACAGUGAAUGGGUGAUAUUCAAUAGUCCGAAGUCCAAUAAACUGUGCAAUUGCAUAAUAGAAAAAAAGUGCUCCACAUAGUUCCAGGGGAUUAAUAAAGGCCUCCUGAACCGAAUCGAUGCAUUUUUGUAAAAAAAAAAUACCCAUAUUUAAACCUUUAUAAACAGUAAUCUCUAGUUUCCGCUAACUGUCAUACGCGCGUUCACGAGAGAGAGACGUCCAGCGGAUGAUGUAGGUGUAGAGUAAGUUCCGGUGAGAAUGCCAAGUUUUGUUUACAGAAGCAAAGGAAGCAAAGUUUCCUUUGUUUAGCAAAGUCUCCUCUUGGCUUAUAUCAAAAUCCUCUGACAUUUUUCUUUACAAAUCCUUGUUUUAUCUGGAUGCCCGAGUAAAUGAGUAUGAAGGAACAAUGGUUUGAUUGGACACUGUCUCUGAGCUAUUUUUCUCUUAAACAAACUGUGGUAAACAUAUGCCACACAAGCUGUUACACAUUUCAGCACAUCUGUCUGUUUGAUUUCCUAUAUUACACAUAAUUUAGCACAUCAGUGAUAUAUUUUCAGUCAGUGUGAAUGGAAAGGACAUUUACCAAUCAUAGCUCUGUCCAGAUCUUGUGGGUUCUUCCUGUUGGGGUCAUUAAGUUGCUUCAAAACAAAGUCCAGAACACUGGCAUUAGGACAAUUCUAUCAUUCUGAUGGCACCCAUUCACUGUAGAGGAUCCAUUAGAUCUAAAUGUCUUCAAAUCUGUUCUGAUGAAGAAACAAACUCAUUUACAUCUUGGAAGGCCUGACGGUGAGUACAUUUGCAACAAAUUUUCAUUUUUGGGUGAAAUGUUCCUUUCAGGAAAACAAGAUACAAUGCAGUUUGCAUCUGAUACCAAAAAAAGUGAAGUUUCACUGUUUGUACUUUGCAUUUUAGUUAAUGAUUUCCUGUCAGUUAACGACGCCUGAAUGUUUCUGAGGGUACCUGGCUUCAGCGAGAGCUACAGCCACACACAUUGCUGCCUUCAUUCUGACCAGCAUCAUAACCUGUGGAAGUAGAAGAUUCCAUGUUCCUUCCACUGGCCUUCAAGAGUGAUCUCAGGCCCUCAGAUGUGACAUUUCAGUAAACAGAAACUCAAAAAUAGUGUGACUUCACACCACUUAUGGCACCAGUCGCCCUGUCCUCCUGGGUGCAGGCCAUCUGUGACAUCAAGACCAAAAACAGACUGUCAUAACCUGAUUCAUGAGAUGCCUCAGCUUUCAGAACACACAAAUGAUUCACGAGAAAAAAAAAAAGUUUCGAUGCAUAUUAAAAUUGUACCCGUUUCA